GAUGAAGAACGCAGCGAAAUGCGAUAAGUAGUGUGAAUUGCAGAAUUCAGUGAAUCAUCGAAUCUUUGAACGCACAUUGCGCCCCUUGGUAUUCCAUGGGGCAUGCCUGUUCGAGCGUCAUUUGUACCUUCAAGCUUUUCUUGGUGUUGGGUGUUUGUCUCGCCUUUGCGUGUAGACUCGCCUUAAAAUAAUUGGCAGCCGGCGUAUUGAUUUCGGAGCGCAGUACAUCUCGCGCUUUGCACUCAUAACGACAGCGUCCAAAAGUACAUUUUACACUCUUGACCUCGGAUCAGGUAGGGAUACCCGCUGAACUUAAGCAUAUCAAUAAGCGGAGGA
rnacentral:misc_RNA from 1 species